AUACGUAGGGUGCGAGCGUUGUCCGGAAUUACUGGGCGUAAAGAGCUCGUAGGUGGUUUGUCGCGUCGUCUGUGAAAUUCCGGGGCUUAACUCCGGGCGUGCAGGCGAUACGGGCAUAACUUGAGUACUGUAGGGGAGACUGGAAUUCCUGGUGUAGCGGUGAAAUGCGCAGAUAUCAAGAGGAACACCGGUGGCGAAGGCGGGUCUCUGGGCAGUAACUGACGCUGAGGAGCGAAAGCAUGGGUAGCGAACAGGAUUAGAUACCCUGGUAGUCCAUGCCGUAAACGGUGGGCGCUAGGUGUAGGGGUCUUCCACGACUUCUGUGCCGUAGCUAACGCAUUAAGCGCCCCGCCUGGGGAGUACGGCCGCAAGGCUAAAACUCAAAGGAAUCGACGGGG
rnacentral:rRNA from 1 species